CCCAGACUCCUACGGGAGGCAGCAGUGAGGAAUAUUGGUCAAUGGGCGGGAGCCUGAACCAGCCAAGCCGCGUGAAGGAAGAAGGCGCCAGGCGUCGUAAACUUCUUUUGUCGGGGAACAAAGGGCGCCACGCGUGGCGUUGUGAGUGUACCCGAAGAAAAAGCAUCGGCUAACUCCGUGCCAGCAGCCGCGGUAAUACGGAGGAUGCGAGCGUUAUCCGGAUUCAUUGGGUUUAAAGGGUGCGUAGGUUGUUUUAUAAGUUAGCGGUGAAAUACCGAUGCUCAACAUCGGGGCUGCCGCUAAUACUGUAGGACUAGAGAUCGGAUGCAGCAGGCGGAAUGUGUAGUGUAGCGGUGAAAUGCAUAGAUAUUACACAGAACACCGAUUGCGAAGGCAGCUUGCUAGGCCGGAUCUGACACUGAUGCACGAAAGCGUGGGGAUCGAACAGGAUUAGAUACCCGGGUA
rnacentral:rRNA from 1 species